AGGAUGAACGCUGGCGGUACGUCUGACACAUGCAAGUCGAACGGUAAGCCACCUUCGGGUGGCCUAGAGUGGCGAACGGCUGAGUAACACGUAGGAACCUACCCCUUAGUUCGGGAUAACGGGACGAAAGCCCCGCUAAUACCGGAUAAUAUCGAAAGAUUGAAAGGUUUACUGCUGAGGGAGGGGCCUGCGGGCUAUUAGCUUGAUGGUGGGGCAAUGGCUCACCAUGGCGAUGAUGGCUAGCUGGUCUGAGAGGAUGAUCAGCCAGACUGGGACUGAGACACGGCCCAGACUCCUACGGAGCAGCAGUUCAGAUCUUGCCAAUGGGCGAAAGCCUGAUGCAGCGAC
rnacentral:rRNA from 1 species